rnacentral:lncRNA from 1 species
UGAAAUAGGCGGAACUGGCAAUAGAAGAGACAACAAUGAAAGAACUACUGAAAAUUCUUCUAAAUGCUCGGAGGGUGAUGCAGCUUGUAUAACGUCCAAAAUACAGCAACAAUAAUAACAAAUGUGGGGUCUGGGGAGAGUAAUCUGUACACAGACCUUACCCUUACAUGGAGAGGUAGAGAGGCAACAUCCAAUAGAAGAAACCUAAUUAAAAUUCAUUAGAAACUCUGUUGGCAAUUAAUUUGAAUUCGAAAUGGGUUUGGUGAAAUUGUUAUUUAUUUGAAUUGGGUAUUGUUGCAAAU